rnacentral:snoRNA from 1 species
UUUGGCACAAUGAGGAGUUAAUUUUGCUAAUGUAUCUAUGAGGUAUUAAGACCUAUGACUCUUAUGUCCUUUUCAUUCUGAGUGCCUU